AUCUAAAAUUAACUUAUAGUUGCAUGAUCAAUUUUAAUCUAUGUGUAUGGUAAGAAUGGAGUGGAAGCUAAACAAAUUCUAAACAAUCACUUAUAACUCUAUAGAAAACUAGAGAUAUUACACAAUCAAGUAUGAGUGUAAGGCAUGAAAUACAAGAGAUAAGGCAUCACAAACACAAAGAUGUAUAGUGGUUCGGUGCACCCCAGCACCUACAUCCACUCCCCAAGACCU
rnacentral:lncRNA from 1 species